UACAGAGGGGGCAAGCGUUAUUCGGAAUUACUGGGCGUAAAGGGCGCGUAGGUGGCCUGUUAAGUCGAACGUGAAAUCCCCGGGCUCAACCCGGGAACUGCGUCCGAGACUGGCAGGCUCGAAUCCGGGAGAGGGAUGUGGAAUUCCAGGUGUAGCGGUGAAAUGCGUAGAUAUCUGGAGGAACACCGGUGGCGAAGGCGGCAUCCUGGACCGGUAUUGACGCUGAGGCGCGAAAGCCAGGGGAGCAAACGGG
rnacentral:rRNA from 1 species